CAGUAGCCGCGGGAAUACGAAGGGUGCAAGCGUUACUCGGAAUUACUGGGCGUAUAGCGUGCGUAGGUGGUGGUUUAAGUCCGUUGUGAAAGCCCUGGGCUCAACCUGGGAAUUGCAGUGGAUACUGGGUCACUAGAGUGUGGUAGAGGAUAGUGGAAUUUCCGGUGUAGCAGUGAAAUGCGUAGAGAUCGGAAGGAACAUCUGUGGCGAAGGCGACUAUCUGGGCCAACACUGACACUGAGGCACGAAAGCGUGGGGAGCAAACAGGAUUAGAUACCCGGGUAGUCCCUGUCUCUUAUAA
rnacentral:rRNA from 1 species